rnacentral:rRNA from 1 species
GACGAACGCUGGCGGCGUGCUUAAUACAUGCAAGUAGAACGCUGAAGGAGGAGCUUGCUUCUCUGGUUGAGUUGCGAACGGGUGAGUAACGCGUAGGUAACCUGCCUGGUAGCGGGGGAUAACUUUUGGAAACGAUAGCUAAUACCGCAUAAGAGUAGAUGUUGCAUGACAUUUGCUUAAAAGGUGCAAUUGCAUCACUACCAGAUGGACCUGCGUUGUAUUAGCUAGUUGGUGGGGUAACGGCUCACCAAGGCGACGAUACAUAGCCGACCUGAGAGGGUGAUCGGCCACACUGGGACUGAGACACGGCCCAGACUCCUACGGGAGGCAGCAGUAGGGAAUCUUCAGCAAUGGACGGAAGUCUGACCGAGCAACGCCGCGUGAGUGAAGAAGGUUUUCGGAUCGUAAAGCUCUGUUGUAAGAGAAGAACGAGUGUGAGAGUGGAAAGUUCACACUGUGACGGUAUCUUACCAGAAAGGAACGGCUAACUACGUG